rnacentral:lncRNA from 1 species
AUGUUUCAAUUGUGUGCAGGUAGAAAAUUCAUCAUUUUAGUGUCCAUCUGAAGAAUCACAUGGUGAUAGGAAUAAGGACUAUGGAUGGCAUGUUGGUAGGAAUCUGAGAUGAUAAAAAAUAGUACUCAUCCAACUGCUAACUGAAUGUGCUGGAAAUUAGCUCAUAGUGACACAUAUAUUAUUACUGGGUCAGUACUGUCCUAGACUUGCAUAUUCAGAAUUAAUGCAUCUCACACAGUAGUGCCAUUUGUCGACACACGAUAUGAUAUAUGGAUAAAACCAUGAAAGUGUAUAUGAAACUGUAUAAUCUGGCACUUUGUUUCAGGCCUCCAGCAAUGUGAUGUCCUUUUUAUGUUAUCAUGGCAUACUAGAUAAUUAAAUGACGAUUCUUUGAUAAUGUCUCCAUAUCUUCAGCUAAGAACAUGCUGUCAACAUCACGGAACGACAUGGAGCUGCAGACGUGCACUUUGGAGCAGAGGUUGACUUGCAGUUGCGUCUGCAAUCUCCCAAACAAAUGAGCAGCACCAUGCAGUUGUGGGCUUGCAGUAGGUUGGUAGGUGAAUGGUCAUAGCGGGAAUACAACGAGCAUGUCGACUGCUGCGAGUAUUCCAUUCAAGUCGACGACUACAUUUGCAAGAGGUGAGUUGUUUACUUGGAGAAAUAUUUGAGAAAAUCAUCAAUUUAUUUAGCAUUAGUUAAAUCAGUUUGUUGAGCUGAGCUUUUUAUCUUGAUGGUAGUGAGAAUUCUGAUGGUAGAAGAAUUCUUCUAUUGAGAUGGUUCUUCUAUUUUUAAUGUACUCCUACUAUUUUAAUGCAACAUUGCUUUUUAGUGCUAAAUUACUAGAUUACAUCCUUUCUUUUCCCUUUUCCCUUGAAAAGCAUGGUAGAAGUUGUGUUUAAACACUCAUAUAUAGAAGACUAAGAAUUUCUUUUUGUUCUUCUUGCUAUUGGCUGGUAGCUUUUAGUAGCAAUUUGGAUAAUUAUGUGCAUAAUAUUCUGUAUGAUUUUGGGGCAAGAAAGGUCGGGGAUUCUGUUGUGGGUGGAUCAUAGCCUCCAGAACAAAGCACACUAUACAGUAGCCUGAGCAAGUUGUGGGCGGUGCCUUCAUAUGGUUGUUAAAUUGCUGCUCUUUUUCUAUAUGGAUUAAUGCGAAGCAACUCGAAUUUCUCUUUGAAAAAUAUAUGUCUCUCUUUUUGUUUGAUUUGAGUUCCUCACAGUAGUUGCUUUUGAUGUUAUUGUAGUUUUACACCACUGUGUGAUCGAUGAAUUCGAGGUCCGAUGCCCAUCUGGGGGCCGGAGUAGAUUCAUCAGACGGUGGAGUUGAGUGACCCACUCAUUGAUCCCAGAUGUGCUCAAGUGAAGCCAGGGAUUUGAUCCAUCCAUCUUGGAGCGGAUGAAUCAACAGAGAAUCCAUCCGGUCAACAAGUGAAUUUAGGCUUGAUUAAUUAGCAGGAGCAUACGAGUCUCUUGUGCACAUGUAGUUUAGGUGUACACAGGUUCAGGUAGUCAACUGUUAAGCAUGGUAGGAUUCGCAAGCUGGGCAGUAGGCGGCGUCACGGUACAAUCCAGCAGGGCGGCGGAGGAGGCGGACAGUGGUGACUGGGGAGGAUACGAAGUGGGAUGGAUAGGUUGAGGGAAAUUUGUGGGUCUGGACUGGAGCAGAGGGAGAUAGAGAAUGGGUGAGAAAGAUGGAGAUGUUGAUAGGUAACACCUGUAGCAACGAGAUGUUGAUAGUUUACUUUUCUUCAUCUCCAACGCAACUAUCAACUGAUGCGCUAAUUGUAUCAUCACAGUUCUCAUGUAAGCAAAGGAUCUUGCUUCUUCCCGAAUUAGAUUUUGAAGUAUUCCACUUCUAUUGUUUCUUCAGGCAUAAUGCAUUUGAUCACGGUUCUCAUGUGAUCGGCUACCUGCAGAUCUACAUACUAGGGCCGUGAUGUGCAAUGGAGGAGUCUUGACGAUCCAAUGAUUUAUUUGUGUUUGGUUUUGCUGCAUGGGUCAGUAUGUGCAUAUCCUUGGAUGUAGUAUUGCUUUUCCUAACUGUGUUUUCUAGAUUAGACAAUGAUUCGCAAUGUACUAGGAGGUUUGGACAGCAAGUGAUUGUCACCAACACCAAGGAUCAGGUUCCUGCCAGAAGAACCCAAAGCAGAGCAAGAGAAGGAAAUGAAGGUGAAGCUGCAGGUUCUAUUGGAGAGAGGGCUGCAUCACAUACUUGCUGCAAAGGCCAUGUUGUCAAGGAGCCGGUGACUGCCGCUCCAGCUGCCUCGUGCCAUGCCCCAUUGUGAGAGUCUGCAUCUGGCUCGCGCCACCACUCCAGCAGGCACUCAACGCGCAAUCCUGGGUUGUUGUGUUGACUUGAUACAGUCGCUGAUAACAGUGAUGCAGCGCUCUAGCUAAUAGUUAGUAUUGGUGUCUGACUGGAGCAACUAGAGUCGCUAGCUAUUGUGCUAAAAGCAACAGGAUGGAUUUGCUCCAUGCAAGAAGACAGUAAGGAUAAAGGAGCAAAAAGCAGGCCGUUGGUGGUGAUGGAUAAUUUCUCCAAUCAAUUUAAUCAUAGACGCCUUCCAACAUUGCACACUAAGCGAUUGCAUUGCUUAGAUAUAUAGAAAGGCGGCUUCUGUUUUCAAGAAAGUUCAGGUGUCGUGAUUGUUAAUUUUUUAUGCCAACAAUUACAUAAGCUUGGCUGACAAGUAUACAUUCUGAAUUGUAUGUUCAGAUGAUAUUCACAUAUUUAGACUGAACCUUUAAACCUAGCAUAUUUAUUUUUCUCACCUAACGAUUUUGAUUAUGUACGAUAUGUAUCCCAUAGAAAGCUGGUUUUGACAUUACAAUCUGGCACUGAAUAAAUAGAAAAAGGGAGAUUCAUAUAGUGGCAGUAAAGUGCUAAGAAGUUAUAAUCUGUUUUUAGUUGUAUUACAGUGAGAGGAAACCCUUAUUUUACUUGUGAGCAUUGUAAUUGUUUGCGAAGGGCUAAUGUUGACAUGCAUACAAAUAUUAGCCUGGAGGUCGUGCUUUGUUCAAAGUAGCUGGGUAUAUGUACAACUAAUAAAUAUUCAUGUGUUAUCUUGGUACAAUAUUGUUGAG